rnacentral:rRNA from 1 species
AUUGAACGCUGGCGGCAGGCCUAACACAUGCAAGUCGAGCGGAGUGGCCGGCGGGUGAGUGAGGCAUACGAAUAUGCCUGGUAGUGGGGGAUAACGUCCGGUAACGGGCGCUAAUACCGCAUACUAUUAGAUGAGCCUAGUACGGAUUAGCUAGUUGGAGGGGUAAAGGCCUACCAAGGCGACGAUCCGUAACUGGCCUGAGAGGAUGAUCAGUCACACUGGAACUGAGACACGGUCCAGACUCCUACGGGAGGCAGCAGUGGGGAAUAUUGGACAAUGGGCGAAAGCCUGAUCGAGCCAUGCCGCGUGUGUGAAGAAGGCCUUCGGAUUGUAAAGCACUGUAAGUAGGGAGGCGUUACCUACACAGUAAGCACCGGCUAACUACGUGCCAGCAGCCGCGGUAAUAC